ACUUCAUUUGUCCUCUUCAUCUAAUUUGAAUUCCAUUUCAAUCAGCUAAGUUCAAAUUUAAUAACAGAUGAACCAAAUGCAAGGAGAAACAUAAACCAGGUUGUAGAGUCGUAUAUUAACUCAUAUGAGAUACACAAGAUGUCUGAUACUAUCAAAGAUUUUAGAAAUUAAAUAUAAAGCAUGUCAGUUUGUUAGUCUUUUUCAGCUUGUUUAUUGUUUCUUUUGCUUCCUUAUUUCAUGUUUUCCUGUAACAGUUUUCACCUUUUUAAAAUCUAAUUCAAAAUCAUGAAGUGGGAUCUGUCCAAGUAGUCAUACCCCUCCGCCUAGCAACUAGAGGUUUUGGGUCAAUCUUGGGCGAUGCAUCCCCAAAUACUAGGCCUACUAAUUAUAGUGCAGGUAGACCUCCCUCUCUCUCCCUCUCUCUCAAACAAAAAAAAGGACUCAAAAUUGAAUAACCAAGAUAUGUGUUUCAUUAUUGUGCAUGCAUGUAUCAACAUUACCUGAGUAGAUGAAGUCCUUCCCGCUAUAGCUAAACCCAUGCUUCACAAGGGUGUAACUGCAC
rnacentral:lncRNA from 1 species